rnacentral:rRNA from 1 species
CAUGCAAGUCGAGCGAAGCCUUCGGGCUUAGCGGCGGACGGGUGAGUAACGCGUGGGAACGUGCCCUUCUCUGCGGAAUAGCCACUGGAAACGGUGAGUAAUACCGCAUACGCCCUUCGGGGGAAAGAUUUAUCGGAGAAGGAUCGGCCCGCGUUAGAUUAGGUAGUUGGUGGGGUAAUGGCCUACCAAGCCUACGAUCUAUAGCUGGUUUGAGAGGAUGAUCAGCCACACUGGGACUGAGACACGGCCCAGACUCCUACGGGAGGCAGCAGUGAGGAAUCUUGGACAAUGGGGGCAACCCUGAUCCAGCCAUGCCGCGUGAACGAUGAAGGCCUUAGGGUUGUAAAGUUCUUUCAGCUGGGAAGAUAAUGACGGUACCAGCAGAAGAAGCCCCGGCUAACUCCGUGCCAGCAGCCGCGGUAAUACGGAGGGGGCUAGCGUUGUUCGGAAUUACUGGGCGUAAAGCG